UACGAAGGGGGCUAGCGUUGCUCGGAAUCACUGGGCGUAAAGCGCACGUAGGCGGACUCUUAAGUCGGUGGUGAAAUCCUGGAGCUCAACUCCAGAACUGCCUUUGAUACUGAAGAUCUUGAGUUCGGGAGAGGUGAGUGGAACUGCGAGUGUAGAGGUGAAAUUCGUAGAUAUUCGCAAGAACACCAGUGGCGAAGGCGGCUCACUGGCCCGAUACUGACGCUGAGGCACGAAAGCGUGGGGAGCAAGCAGG
rnacentral:rRNA from 1 species